GUUCAAUUCUCCAAUAUUUAGGGCCGUUUGGUUACAUAUAGUUGCAACUACACUGCAGUUGUAACUGCAUAUAAAUGCAAAUUUCGUGUUUGGUUUUAUGUAUUUAACUCCAACUGCUGCAAUAGCUGCAGUAGGAACUGCAGGAGGAGGCCCAAUUGCAGCAGUUCGAACUACACCUAAAUUAGCCGCAGUUCCAACUACAACAGAUGGAGAGAGUAACUUUAAAUAAAAGGUAUAUUUACCUCCUCAAUAUUUUUUAAACAAUUUUUUUUUCCUUUUUUAUAUUGGUAGUAAUUUCACCAUCAUAUAUAUAAAAUAAUAAAAUUUUAAAAAUUAUCUCUCAACUAUAUGCAACCAAACAAAUUACGUAUACUUGCAGCGCUUUCUACUACAUCGAAUCAAAUAUGAUUCAUAUAGUUAUAAUUGCUGUAUUUUCAACUAUAUGCAUCUCUAACUACACUGCAUUUAUAAUUACAUCUAACCAAACAUCCUCUUAGUGUCUUUCCAGGGCCCUACUU
rnacentral:lncRNA from 1 species